rnacentral:rRNA from 1 species
GACGAACGCUGGCGGCGUGCCUAACACAUGCAAGUCGAACGGAAACGCCGUGCCUUUGUGCGGUGCUCGAGUGGCGAACGGGUGAGUAACACGUGAGUACCCUGCCCUUGACUUUGGGAUAACCUCAGGAAACUGGGUCUAUUACCGGAUAGGAGUUCCUGCUGCAUGGUGGGGCCUGGAAAGCUUCGGCGGUUGGGGAUGGACUUGCCGCUUAUGAGCUUGUUGGUGGGGUAGUGGCUCACCAAGGCCUUGCAGGGUAGCCGACCUGAGAGGGUAGACGGCCACAAUAGGCCUGCGAUACGGACCAGACUGGAAUGGGAGGCAACGGUGGAGAGUAUUAUACAAUAGGCGGGAGCCUGAUGCGACGGCGCCGCGGGCGGGAAGACGUCCUGCCGGUAGUGAACCGCUUUCGCCUGAGACGGGGCGUGAGUGACGGUACUGGGUGAAUAAGCACCGGCUAACUACGUG